AUCUCAUUCUGUUUUUAUGUAUAUUGCUCUAAGUCAUAAGCAGUAUUUUGUUUCUUUCUCUUUUACACUGAUAGAUAUCUGCCCCCCUUGUUAGAUGCAAGCAGGAAAGAAGCAUGGGAGUAAGGAGAACAUUAGUUCUGCGAGAUGAGGGGGUUCAAGAAACCAGACAGAUAUAGAGCUGAAAACUGGGAUAUUUACCAAAGUAUAUAUGCAAACUACAUUAGAGAUCAACAUGUAGAACUCACAGCUCCUUCUCCAGAACCAUGUAUGCCUGCAUGCCAUCAUAUCCUACCAUGACAAUGGACUGACCCUCUGAACUUAAGCCACCCAAUUAAAUGUUAAGUGUUACCAUGGUCAUGGUGUCUAUUCAGAAUAUUAGAAAUUCUAACUAAGGAUUCUCUGAAAUUUGAGAGGAGGGACUUGAUGGAGACAUCCCAUUUAGAGUUGUGUGUUCCAAAGUCUGUCUCUGGGUAAUGUCUGGCAGUGGGUCUCUGAUGUUCCCAUCUUCUGACGGAGGAAGCAUCUUUGAUGAUGGCUG
rnacentral:lncRNA from 1 species